UCGAUCUGUAAUACAUGCAUACAGGCCGUUCGUUUCUAUUCCGUGCAGUUUGACCUAAUCAAGCUCCACCUGAUCUUUUUGCCGCCGCCGCCCACGCUAGGAUAGGGCUUAAUCUUUCGUUACCAUCGACCAUCGUCGCCACAGGCAUAGGCGCGCACAAUCUUUCAAAAGCACGAACCCUUCCAUGCUUGACCAGCGAUGGUUGCCGCAUGCCUGCGGCCUGCGGAAACAAUGCUCAUCCGAGCAGAUGGGACGAGCCGGGGCUGGAUUUGAUUUCUUUUCCGAGGGAUUGCCGGGGCUGGAGUUGAUACUCUAGCAAGAAAAGAGACCAUACAUGGAUAAAAAUCAUCAAUUAGAAGGAAAGAAGCAAAAUGGAGGAAGAAGGAGAUAAUUUGCUGGUGCAACAAGUGAAACAGAAGAGAAGACGAGGGGUGCCAGCAGCUUCUUGGCGUCCAACACAACCACUUUUAUAAAGGGCUCAAUACCAGAUUCACAAGGGAGCAUCAUCAAAAACCUCUAUCACCGUAACAAAAACCAUUCUCCAACCUAGUCGCUGUCAUUUCCCAUCUCAUCUCCAUAGCCACCACCAUCACCAUCACCGCAGAAAACCACCUCCAUGUUAGCCAUACUUGUAAUCGUGUAUCGCAUUCGACAACCAAUUGUAAGACAUAUUAUCAAUAAAGCAUUAUGUUUAUGUCUUUUC